UACGAAGGGGGCUAGCGUUGCUCGGAAUCACUGGGCGUAAAGCGCACGUAGGCGGAUUGCUAAGUCAGGGGUGAAAUCCUGGAGCUCAACUCCAGAACUGCCUUUGAUACUGGCGAUCUUGAGUCCGGGAGAGGUGAGUGGAACUGCGAGUGUAGAGGUGAAAUUCGUAGAUAUUCGCAAGAACACCAGUGGCGAAGGCGGCUCACUGGCCCGGUACUGACGCUGAGGUGCGAAAGCGUGGGGAUCAAACAGG
rnacentral:rRNA from 1 species